GAUCCUGGCUCAGGACGAACGCUGGCGGCGUGCCUAAUACAUGCAAGUCGAACGCUUCUUUUUCCACCGGAGCUUGCUCCACCGGAAAAAGAGGAGUGGCGAACGGGUGAGUAACACGUGGGUAACCUGCCCAUCAGAAGGGGAUAACACUUGGAAACAGGUGCUAAUACCGUAUAACAAUCGAAACCGCAUGGUUUUGAUUUGAAAGGCGCUUUCGGGUGUCGCUGAUGGAUGGACCCGCGGUGCAUUAGCUAGUUGGUGAGGUAACGGCUCACCAAGGCCACGAUGCAUAGCCGACCUGAGAGGGUGAUCGGCCACAUUGGGACUGAGACACGGCCCAAACUCCUACGGGAGGCAGCAGUAGGGAAUCUUCGGCAAUGGACGAAAGUCUGACCGAGCAACGCCGCGUGAGUGAAGAAGGUUUUCGGAUCGUAAAACUCUGUUGUUAGAGAAGAACAAGGAUGAGAGUAACUGUUCAUCCCUUGACGGUAUCUAACCAGAAAGCCACGGCUAACUACGUGGCCAGCA
rnacentral:rRNA from 1 species